GGGCCUAUAGCUCAGUUGGUUAGAGCGCACGCCUGAUAAGCGUGAGGUCAGUGGUUCAAGUCCACUUAGGCCCACCA
rnacentral:tRNA from 3 species